GACGAACGCUGGCGGCGUGCCUAAUACAUGCAAGUAGAACGCUGAAGGAGGAGCUUGCUCUUCUGGAUGAGUUGCGAACGGGUGAGUAACGCGUAGGUAACCUGCCUGGUAGCGGGGGAUAACUAUUGGAAACGAUAGCUAAUACCGCAUAACAGUAGAUGUUGCAUGACAUUUACUUAAAAGGUGCAAUUGCAUCACUACCAGAUGGACCUGCGUUGUAUUAGCUAGUUGGUGGGGUAACGGCUCACCAAGGCGACGAUACAUAGCCGACCUGAGAGGGUGAUCGGCCACACUGGGACUGAGACACGGCCCAGACUCCUACGGGAGGCAGCAGUAGGGAAUCUUCGGCAAUGGACGGAAGUCUGACCGAGCAACGCCGCGGGAGUGAAGAAGGGCUUCGGAUCGUAAAGCUCUGUUGUAAGAGAAGAACGAGUGUGAGAGUGGAAAGUUCACACUGUGACGGUAUCUUACCAGAAAGGGACGGCUAACUACGUG
rnacentral:rRNA from 1 species